CGGGUUAGUGGCGGACGGGUGAGUAACGCGUGAGAAUCUGCCCUUAGGAGGAGGAUAACAGCUGGAAACGGUUGCUAAUACUCCAUAUGCCGAGAGGUGGAAGGAAUUUCUGCCUAAGGAGGAGCUCGCGUCUGAUUAGCUAGUUGGUAGGGUAAAGGCCUACCAAGGCGACGAUCAGUAGCUGGUUUGAGAGGAUGAUCAGCCACACUGGGACUGAGACACGGCCCAGACUCC
rnacentral:rRNA from 1 species